rnacentral:lncRNA from 1 species
CGCGGCCGCCAUCUUACGCCCGUCGCCCUGAGUACGUUAGCGGAAAUGGCUCCGAGAGGCUUUGACGCAUGUGUACCUUUUUAGUGGCGGUAUCUCGGCCGGGGAUUUUCGGGCUCCAGUGGAGGUGGCUAUGCUCACCCCAUCUCCCUUGAGAGGCACAGAAGGUUAGAGAUGUGUGCGAGGAACGGCCAGGUCCAGCGUCUCCUCGUUGCUGCCCCUUGAGCCCGGGACCGGCGCCAAUGCGCGCCCGGGUUCUUGGGUUCUUUCGUCCCGCAGACCUGCCUUGGUGUGGCGUCCCUGGGCCGUAGCUUCCGAAGGCUGCAGCCGACCUGGUCGGGGUCCUCUAGCCCGCCUUCCCCUUCCCCCAUUGACAGAUGGAGAAACUGAGGCCCAGGCCAAAAAAUAUCUCACUAGAGGGCUCACCGCCAUUUCCUGGAAAAAUUGGGGCUGGGACUCAACGGACGCUCGUCCAGCAGCAGCGCGGAGCUCCGAGGGUCAGGUUGGCCAUCCGCAGGCGUAGUUGCUAGGAAGGUUUGACAGAUGUCCGCCUGUUGAUUCAGACGUUCCCAGGAUUUGGAGCAAGAAGAGCAAGGAAGGCCAGGCGCGGUGGCUCACGUUUGUAAUCCCAGCACUUUGGGAGGCCGAGGCGGGCGGAUCACGAGGUCAGGAGUUCGAGACCAGCCUGGCCAGCAUGGUGAAACCCCGUCUCUACUAAAAAUACAAAAGAAAAUUAGCCGGGUGUGGUGGCACAUGCCUGUAGUCCCACCUACUUGGGAGGCUGAGGCAGGAGAAUUGUUUGACCUGGCAGGCGGAGGUUGCAGUGAGCCGAGAUUGCGCCACUGCACUCCAGUCUGGGCGACAGAGCGAGACUCUGUCUCAGAAAAAAAAAAGAGCAAGGAGGUGUUGAAAAUGGGUUUCCUGGCUGGGCGUGGUGGCUCACGCUUGUAAUCCCAGCACUUUGGGAAGCUGAGGUGGGCGGAUCACUUGAGGUCAGGAGUUUGAGACCAGCCUGGCCAACAUGGUGAAACACCGUCUCCACUAAAAAUAGAAAAAUUAACUGGGUGUGGUGGAGGGCGCCUGUAAUCCCAGCUAAUCAGGAAGCUGAGACAGGAGGAUCGCUUGAACCCAGGAGGCGGAGGUUGCAGUGAGCCGAGAUUGCUCCAUUGCACUCCAGCCUGGGCGAUAGAGUGAGACUCAGCCUCAAAAAAAAAAAAAAAAAAAAAUUCGCCAGGUGUGGUGGUGUGCGCCUAUAAUCCCAGCUACUCAGGAGGCAGAGGCACAAGAAUGGCUUGAAUCACUUGAACCUGGGAGGCAGAGGUUACAAUGAGCCGAGAUGGCACCACUGCACUCCAGCCUGGGCGACAGAGCGAGACUCCGACUUCCCAUCUUAAAAAAAAAAAAAAAAAAAAAAAAGAAGUGUAAAGAUGUGAUUAUGUGGCAGGGGGUAAGGGUUAAAAAGAAAACAAGAACAAGUUUUCCUCUGCUUAGCCAGCUUACUUCAAGGACAGUUAUAACACUGAAAAGUCGAGGCCAAAGGAAUGGGCUCCAGACAGCCUCCUCCGGAGCAAAGUUGAAAAGAAAAAUUCCUUUACUGUCUCUCCUUUUCUGAACCAUUAAAUAUGACUGUUUGCCAAUGGUUGUAUUUAGUAAGAUUUGUAGACUCUGUUUUUCUUUUGACACAGCUGCAAGGCCAACAGCUGUGCAAAGCCACAAGUUAUGCUAAGUCAGCAGUUAUGCUAUAGAUUACAUGACCUGUGACUGUAUCAUUAACUGCUUUUGUUUUGCUUCUGUAAGUUUGCCUAUAAAAACCACACUCAGUCUUUGUUCAAUGGUCAGCUUUUCAGAUACAAAUCCACUGAGCCGGUGUACAUCUAAAUAAAUCCUCCUGUUUCCCGUGUC